UUAGGGCAGUAACUGGGGAACCACAAGAGAUAAGGCAGAAACCCAGGGUGAGGAGGCCGGGCUAUGAGCCCCCCGAAGAUGGAUGUAGACUCGGGAAGAGGGUGAGCUGUGUGGAGGACGCUUCCUUUAAAAGAAGCAGUGACUGGGGAAUUCCCGUCGUGGCGCAGUGGUUAAUGAAUCCGACUAGGAACCACGAGGUUGCGGGUUCGAUCCCUGGCCUCGCUCAUGGGUUCGGGAUCUGGCGUUGCGGUGAGCUGUGGUGUAGGUCACAGACACGCUCGGAUCCCGUGUUGCUGUGGCUCUGGCGUAGGCCAGUGGCUACAGCUCCGAUUCGACCCCUAGCCUGGGAACCUCCAUAUGCCGCGGGAGCGGCCCUAGAAAAAGCAAAAAGACAAAAAAAAAAAAAAAAACAAAAAAAAAAAAAAAAGGAAGCAGUGAAGCAGUGACCAUGGUGGCAGGAACGCAGGCAGGACAAGGCUGGCAGGGAUGGGUCCUUCAGAGAAGAAAUACUUCCUUCUCAUUUUUCAAUGUCUCCUCCAUCUCCUGCUGCGUCCCUGCCACGGCUGGAACCGAAGGGAAGCCAGAGAGCCCAGGAGCCCUGUUGAUACGGUCAGCAGAGGUCACCGCUCAGAGCAGAAGCCAACGGGAGAGGUGGAGGGUGACCUGAAGUGGAGAAGAAGCAUCGCACUCGCGGUGGGGCUGGGGGCGCCACAAAGGAGACUGAGCAUGGCUUUAAAAAGACUGGAACAGGCAGGAAGCAUGAUCAUCAGAGCCCUACGUAGCCCUAUGAACUGGGUUGCUGCUGUUUAACUCUGCAUUACUUUUCUAAGGACUUGACAUGUAUUCAGCUGUUAAAUCCUCCCUGCUGCCUCCUAAGUCAGGCCCUGUUAGCCUCACCGAGCAGGAAGCUGGGACACAGAAAGGUUACCGGAGGGGCCUAAGGUGACAGCGAGUUAACAGAAAGCAGAGGUUAAGCUUGGCCAGCUGCCCCCAGGACUGCACAGAGCUCCUGCUUUACUGUCUCGGAAGGAGCCCCCUGAGGGAAGGUGGGCUGCAGGCUGAGGGAAGAGCAAAUGAACGAGAGAGAUGAAAGUGCCAGGCGGGUUCAGAAAACACCAAGUGGGGGGGUGUGGCGGUCCCCCCAGACGCAUCACACCAGACACUCCAGUUGCACAGGGUCUGGAGACGGAGGACAAAUGCUUGCACAUCGUCCCUUGACGUUGCUUUUUCCCCACCCUAGCGGAGGGGAGCCCCACGACCUCAAGAUGCUUUUGCACAGGCUGUUCCUACAACCUGGGUCCUGAGCUACUCCCCGGGCUUCCGCUGAAUCCCACCUGCCGAGGUGGAAGACAGCCUUAUUGUUACUUAGAAAUGGAGUAUGACGGAGCCCUGGUUCCCUUGCACCUUUCAUUUCUUGCUCCUGAUAAAACUUUUUAUAACAGGAGCAAUCAAAACCC
rnacentral:lncRNA from 1 species